rnacentral:rRNA from 1 species
GACGAACGCUGGCGGCGUGUCUAAUACAUGCAAGUCGAACGCAGUGGGGCCGGGUGAGUAAAACGUGGGUAACCUCCCAUCAGAGGGGAUAACACUUGGAAACAGGUGCUAAACCGAUACUGAUGGAUGGACCCGCGGUGCAUUUGCUAGUUGGUGAGGUAACGGCUCGCCAAGGCCACGAUGCAGAGCCGACCUGCGAGAGUGAUCGCCGCGACUGGGACUGAGACACGGCCCAGACUCCAACGGGAGGCAGCAGUAGUGAAUCUUCGGCAAUGGACGAAAGUCUGACCGAGCAACGCCGCAUGAGUGAAGAAGGUUUUCGGAUCGUAAAACUCUGUUGUUAGAGAAGCGGUAUCUAACCAGAAAGCCACGGCUAACUACGUGCCAGCAGCCGCGGUAAUUC